rnacentral:tRNA from 1 species
GCCCAGGUAGCUCAGUCGGCAGAGCACACCCUUGGUAAGGGUGAGGUCGCGGGUUCAAGUCCCGUCUUGGGCUUAG